rnacentral:rRNA from 1 species
GAUGAACGCUGGCGGCGUGCCUAACACAUGCAAGUCGAACGGGUCGAGUUUACUCGGCUAGUGGCGGACGGGUGCGUAACACGUAGGUGACCUGCCCCGAAGUGGGGAAUAAUUCCGCGAAAGCGGGACUAAUACCGCAUGGGGUGACGAAGUCGCAUUUGUCACCAAAGCCGAAAGGCGCUUUGGGAUGGGCCUGCGGCGGAUUAGCUAGUUGGUGGGGUAAUGGCCUACCAAGGCGAUGAUCCGUAGGGGGGCGUGAGAGCGUGACCCCCCACAUUGGCACUGAGACACGGGCCAAACUCCUACGGGAGGCUG